UCCAGUAUCUGCAUUUUUCUUUAAAAAAAGAGAAAUGGUUGAGUAUCUGGAUUUUCCCCUGUCAAAAGGAGCUGUGGGUUGGUUCAUACCUGGAUUUUUCUUUAAAAAAAAGAGAAAUGGUUCAGUACCUGGAUUUCUCCUUAAAAA